GAUUAGCCUUAAACGAUGAAUGCUUGGUGUCCGGAGUUAGAUAGUCUCCGGGUGCCGUCGCUAACGCUUUAAGCAUUCCGCCUGGGGAGUACGUGCGCAAGCAUGAAACUCAAAGGAAUUGACGGGGGACCCGCACAAGCGGUGGAGCAUGUGGUUUAAUUCGACGCAACGCGAAGAACCUUACCUAGUCUAGAAUGCUCCUGACAGCCCUAGAGAUAGGGUUUCUUGGGUAAAACCAAGCAGGAUGCAAGGUGCUGCAUGGCUGUCGUCAGCUCGUGUCGUGAGAUGUUGGGUUAAGUCCCGCAACGAGCGCAACCCUUAUCAACAGUUGCCAUCGGGUAAUGCCGGGAACUCUGUUGAAACUGCCGUUGAUAAAACGGAGGAAGGUGGGGAUGACAUCAAGUCCUCAUGGCCUUUAUGACUAGGGCUACACACGUGCUACAAUGGCCGGUACAAAACGCUGCAAACUCGCAAGAGUGAGCCAAUCGUAAAAAGCCGGUCUCAAUUCGGAUUGGAGUCUGCAACUCGACUCCAUGAAGUUGGAAUCGCUAGUAAUCGCAGAUCAGCACCUGCGGUGAAUACUU
rnacentral:rRNA from 1 species